CCCUUUUCUGUUUCUACUCAGUUAACUUAAAAAAAAAAAAACACUUUAUAGUGUAUUGACUAAGUGUGCCAUAUACAGCACUUUUUAAAAAUGUAUUACAUUUACAGCUGUUAUUCAGAUUAAGUCCACAAGGUAGGAGACAACUCAGGAUACCCCCUUUAAUUGGGGAAUUUAUUUUUUAAUGUUUUUUAAUUCAGCAAAUUAAAAAAGGUAUAUAGCCUAUAGCAGUCAGAAUAUAACAAAAAUUGUUUUGCACUCAUAUAGCUCUUGGUAUUGUUAGAUAUGCCAUUCCAUCUGAGCAGCAUUAAUCCACGAAAUGAACAAUACAAACAACAGGCUCAUUUGUCGCUCAUACGUCUUUAGUUUUAAGAUUAUGUUUAGCAAUUUCUUUUUUCAAAAUCAUUAUUUCCAAGUCAUCUUUAUGAAGCUGAAGGGUAAUAUAAUAAUUCUUAUUUUCUGGAAAUCGGACCGUUUUUAAAUGUACAGAUAUACCCGAUUAUUAAAGGAGAAAGCAAUGGGUUAGAAAUAUAGUAUUUUUUCACAAUAAACCAGAUACCCCCAAAUAGAAAUAUACAGCUCUGGAAAACAUUAAGAGAUCACUGCACAUUUUUCUUUCCUUUCUAAAAACUUUGAAAAGGAAGGUUUUGAGUAAUGAAGAGAAAGGUUAAAAUUAACAGACCCCUGCAUUGUUUGUGAACACAGUAUGUUGCUGCAUCCAAAAAUGCAAGUUAAAACUCCACCAUGCAAAGAAGAAACCAUAUAUAAACAAGAUCCAGAACUGCCGCUGCCUUCUCUGGGCCCAAGGUCCUUUAAGAUGGACUGAGGCAAAUUGGAAAACUGUCCUAUGGUCUGACAACUCAAAAUGUGAAAUUGGUUUUGGGAAUCAUGGACGCUGUGUCCUCUGGACUAAGGGGAGAAACCAUCUGGCAUGUUAUCAGUGCACAGUUCAAAAUCCAUCAUUUGUGAUGGUAUGAGGGUGCAUUAGUGCACAUGGCAUGUGUGACUUGCAAAGCUGUAAAGACACCAUUAAUGCUGAACAAUAUAUACAGCUUUUGGAGCAACAUUUGGUGCCAUCCAGACAACGUCUUUUUCAAGGAAGGCCUUGCUUAUUUCAGCAAGACAAUGCCAAACCACAUUCUGCACAUAUAUCUACAGCAUGGCUCCAUAGUAAAAGGGUCCAGGUACAGAGCCCACAUACAUAAACAACCCUCAGCUGGACAAAAUCUUGCACCUUAUAUAUACUUAGGUUAUUAUUAGUAAUUUAUUCAUGCAGUGUACUAUUUUUAUGCUCAGUCCACUGUUCUUAUUGGUUUUUACUUCCCUUAUUCCUUUUGUAUUAAUUGUUGCACCAAUGGUCAGAACAUAUUCCUUGUUUGUUGUAAAACAUACUUGGCAAUAAAACUAUUUUUGAUUCUGAUUCUACACACUGGCCUGCCUGCAGUCCAGACCAGUCACUCAUUGAAAUCAUUUGGCACAUUAUGAAACUAAAAAUACGACAACGGACACCCCAAUCAGCUGAGCAGAUGAAAUCCGAAACCAAUCAAGAAUGGGAAUACAUUUCACUUUCAAAACUACAGCAAUUUUUCUCCUCAGUUCCCAAAUGCUUACAGUGAUUUUUUAUAUGAGGUGAUGCAACACAGUGGUAAACAUGCCCCAACCUUUUUUUAAAUGUGUUGCUGGCAUCAAAUUCAAAAUGGGCAUGUAUUUUUCCAAACA
ensembl:lncRNA